UACGUAGGGGGCAAGCGUUGUUCGGAAUUACUGGGCGUAAAGGGCGCGUAGGCGGCCUACUAAGUCAGACGUGAAAUCCCCCGGCUUAACCUGGGAACUGCGUCUGAUACUGGAAGGCUUGAGGAUGGGAGAGGGAUGUAGAAUUCCAGGUGUAGCGGUGAAAUGCGUAGAUAUCUGGAGGAACACCGGUGGCGAAGGCGGCAUCCUGGACCGGCAUUGACGCUG
rnacentral:rRNA from 1 species